rnacentral:rRNA from 1 species
AUUGAACGCUGGCGGCAGGCCUAACACAUGCAAGUCGAGCGGAUGAGAAGAGCUUGCUCUUCGAUUCAGCGGCGGACGGGUGAGUAAUACCUAGGAAUCUGCCUGGUAGUGGGGGACAACGUUUCGAAAGGAACGCUAAUACCGCAUACGUCCUACGGGAGAAAGCAGGGGACCUUCGGGCCUUGCGCUAUCAGAUGAGCCUAGGUCGGAUUAGCUAGUUGGUGAGGUAAUGGCUCACCAAGGCUACGAUCCGUAACUGGUCUGAGAGGAUGAUCAGUCACACUGGAACUGAGACACGGUCCAGACUCCUACGGGAGGCAGCAGUGGGGAAUCUUGCGCAAUGGGCGAAAGCCUGACGCAGCCAUGCCGCGUGAAUGAUGAAGGUCUUAGGAUUGUAAAAUUCUUUCACCGGGGACGAUAAUGACGGUACCCGGAGAAGAAGCCCCGGCUAACUUCGUGCCAGCAGCCGCGGUAAUACGAAGGGGGCUAGCGUUGCUCGGAAUUACUGGGCGUAAAGGGCGCGUAGGCGGACAUUUAAGUCAGGGGUGAAAUCCCAGAGCUCAACUCUGGAACUGCCUUUGAUACUGGGUGUCUUGAGUGUGAGAGAGGUAUGUGGAACUCCGAGUGUAGAGGUGAAAUUCGUAGAUAUUCGGAAGAACACCAGUGGCGAAGGCGACAUACUGGCUCAUUACUGACGCUGAGGCGCGAAAGCGUGGGGAGCAAACAGGAUUAGAUACCCUGGUAGUCCACGCCGUAAACGAUGAUUGCUAGUUGUCGGGCUGCAUGCAGUUCGGUGACGCAGCUAACGCAUUAAGCAAUCCGCCUGGGGAGUACGGUCGCAAGAUUA